rfam:Dictyostelium lacteum strain TK GLQOFTK02GHM7A, whole genome shotgun sequence.
GAACUUCUUACAGCAAAUUAAAUUCAAUUGUUACUGAAAACCUUCGAGUUCUG